GGACGAACGCUGGCGGCGUGCUUAACACAUGCAAGUCGAACGAUGAUCCGGUUUCGGCCGGGGAUUAGUGGCGAACGGGUGAGUAACACGUGGGCAAUCUGCCCUGCACUCUGGGACAAGCCCUGGAAACGGGGUCUAAUACCGGAUAUGACUGCCAGCCGCAUGGUUGGUGGUGGAAAGCUCCGGCGGUGCAGGAUGAGCCCGCGGCCUAUCAGCUUGUUGGUGGGGUGAUGGCCUACCAAGGCGACGACGGGUAGCCGGCCUGAGAGGGCGACCGGCCACACUGGGACUGAGACACGGCCCAGACUCCUACGGGAGGCAGCAGUGGGGAAUAUUGCACAAUGGGCGGAAGCCUGAUGCAGCGACGCCGCGUGAGGGAUGACGGCCUUCGGGUUGUAAACCUCUUUCAGCAGGGAAGAAGCGUGAGUGACGGUACCUGCAGAAGAAGCGCCGGCUAACUAC
rnacentral:rRNA from 1 species